rnacentral:rRNA from 1 species
GAUGAACGCUGGCGGCGUGCUUAACACAUGCAAGUCGAGCGAAGCAGUUAAGUUGAUUUCUUCGGAUUGAUUCUUAAUUGACUGAGCGGCGGACGGGUGAGUAACGCGUGGGUGACCUGCCCCAUACCGGGGGAUAACAGCUGGAUACGGCUGCUAAUACCGCAUAAGCGCACAGAGCUGCAUGGCUCGGUGUGAAAAACUCCGGUGGUAGGGGAUGGGCCCGCGUCUGAUUAGGCAGUGGGCGGGGUAACGGCCCACCAAACCGACGAUCGGUAGCCGGCCGGGGAGGGAGACCGGCCACAUUGGGACUGAGACACGGCCCAAACUCCUACGGGAGGCAGCAGUGGGUAAUAUUGCACAAUGGGGGAAACCCUGAUGCAGCGACGCCGCGUGAGCGAAGAAGGCCUUCGGGUCGUAAAGCUCUGUCCUCAAGGAAGAUAAUGACGGUACUUGAGGAGGAAGCUCCGGCUAACUACGUGCCAGCCGCCGCAGUAA